rnacentral:rRNA from 1 species
AGCGAACGCUGGCGGUAGGCCUAACACAUGCAAGUCGAACGGCAGCACAGUAAGAGCUUGCUCUUACGGGUGGCGAGUGGCGGACGGGUGAGGAAUACAUCGGAAUCUACUUUUUAGUGGGGGCUAACGUAGGGAAACUUACGCUAAUACCGCAUACGACCUACGGGUGAAAGCAGGGGAUCUUCGGACCUUGCGCGAUUGGAUGAGCCGCUGUCGGAUUAGCUAGUUGGCGGGGUAAAGGCCCACCAAGGCGAAGAUCCGAAGCUGGUCUGAGGGGAUGGUCAGGCACACUGUAAGUGAGACACGGUCCCGACUCCUGCGGGAGGCAGCAGUGGGGAAUAUUGGACAAUGGGGGCAAGCCUGAUCUAGCCAUACCGGGUGGGUGAAGACGGCGUUCGGGUUGUAAAAUCCUUUUGUUGUGAAAGAAAAGCAGCAGUUUAAUACCCCGCUGUACUGACGGUACCCAAAGAAUAAGCACCGGCUAACUUCGUG